UGGCUCAGAUGGUGAAGUGUCUGCCUGCAACGCGGGAGACCCAGGUUCGAUUCCUGG
rnacentral:tRNA from 1 species